UUAUNCUUGUUUGCCAGCACGUAAUGGUGGGANCUCCAGGGAGACUGCCGGUGAUAAACCGGAGGAAGGUGGGGACGACGUCAAGUCAUCAUGGCCCUUACGAGUAGGGCUACACACGUGCUACAAUGGCGCAUACAGAGGGCAGCCAACCAGCGAUGGUGAGCGAAUCCCAAAAAGUGCGUCGUAGUCCGGAUUGGAGUCUGCAACUCGACUCCAUGAAGUCGGAAUCGCUAGUAAUCGUGAAUCAGAAUGUCACGGUGAAUACGUUCCCGGGCCUUGUACACACCGCCCGUCACACCAUGGGAGUGGGCUGCAAAAGAAGUGGGUAGUUAACNUCGG
rnacentral:rRNA from 1 species